rnacentral:tRNA from 1 species
GGGAAGGUGGCUCAGUGGUAGAGCGCUUGCCUUGCAAGC